rnacentral:rRNA from 1 species
GGUGAACGCUGGCGGUAGGCCUAACACAUGCAAGUCGAACGGCAGCACAGUAAGAGCUUGCUCUUACGGGUGGCGAGUGGCGGACGGGUGAGGAAUACAUCAGAAUCUACUUUUUCGUGGGGGAUAACGUAGGGAAACUUACGCUAAUACCGCAUACGACCUACGGGUGAAAGCAGGGGAUCUUCGGACCUUGCGCGAUUGAAUGAGCCGAUGUCGGAUUAGCUAGUUGGCGGGGUAAAGGCCCACCAAGGCGACGAUCCGUAGCUGGUCUGAGAGGAUGAUCAGCCACACUGGAACUGAGACACGGUCCAGACUCCUACGGGAGGCAGCAGUGGGGAAUAUUGGACAAUGGGCGCAAGCCUGAUCCAGCCAUACCGCGUGGGUGAAGAAGGCCUUCGGGUUGUAAAGCCCUUUUGUUGGGAAAGAAAAGCAGCAGGUUAAUACCCCGCUGUCCUGACGGUACCCAAAGAAUAAGCACCGGCUAACUUCGUG